CAUGAUGGUAGUUUAACAAACUCAGGGUUAUAGGAUCGGUUUCGAGUUGUCAAAAACCAAACCACUCCAAUCCGGCUUUGUUGCUUGCUUGUCAUU